rnacentral:rRNA from 1 species
GGAAUUUUGCACAAUGGGCGAAAGCCUGAUGCAGCGACGCCGCGUGGAGGAUGAAGGUUUUCGGAUCGUAAACUCCUGUUAAGUGGGAAGAAAGAACAUAGGUUAAUACCCUAUGGUGAUGACGGUACCACUAGAGAAAGCACCGGCUAACUUCGUGCCAGCAGCCGCGGUAAUACGAGGGGUGCUAGCGUUAUUCGGAAUUACUGGGCGUAAAGAGCGCGUAGGCGGUUUCUUAAGUCUGUUGUUAAAUUACUCAGCCCAACUGAGUGCCAGCAAUAGAUACUGAGAGGCUAGAGGGCAAGAGAGAGAGGUAGAAUUCUCGGAGUAGCGGUAAAAUGCGUAGAUCUCGAGAGGAAUACCGAUGGCGAAGGCAGCUUCUUGGCUUGCAUCUGACGCUCAAGCGCGAAAGCGUGGGGAGCA